AACAAAUCCCCCGCGGUCGGUACUCCCAUUCUCCCAAUCACUCUCAACCUCGCUCACUUUCAUGAACCUCGAUCCCUCAAUCCACCCUUAAUCCCUCUCACCCUUCCAAGCUCCCCCUCGCUCUCAUCCUCUCUCUUUGUGUCAUUGAAGUUUUCCGAAAGCUGUGGGCAAGUUCAGGAGCGGUUCCGGCGAAGUAUAGCUGUCUCCAAGCAUCGUCAAUCUCUCAGGCCACCACAGGUUCUCUUCCGUCGGUCGCAACUCUUCACUUUUCAACUCGUCUCCCCCCCCCCCCCCCCCCUCCCUCUCUCCUUGUAAGUUCCUCUUCUCCUUCAGAUUCAGAGAACUUCUUUGUUUUUAAUUUCAUCAGGUCUUGAUUGGGUUUUCUAAUAUGACUGGGUUUUUGUGUAUGAGCUAUCAACUUCUUCAUCGUCUUCAUCAGAGAGAACAAUACCCAUCAGGGUUGAAGAAUUUCACGAACACAUUGUUCCUCUGUCUCGGAUUUGAUGGCAAGCAAAUUGGGUUUUGCAAAAUUAAAGGAAAAUCUUCCAAUCAAGAUGUGUUGGAUGAGGAAUUUAUAUUCGAUUGAUGAGAAUGUUCAGAGGGAAACCAGAUUGAUGGGUAGUGGAAGCAUAUUCUGUUAGUAUAAAGGGGGAGAUUGUUAGUAUGGGAAUUGUAUGUUGGCAUUCCCCUUAUACAAAACUUGAGUGUUCUAGCUAAAAGUGUGUGAGUGUUUUGAUCUAAGCAUUUGGAUCAGUAACACAAGACAAGGACCACUGACUCAUACGAAAUUUGGGCUGGUGUCCCCUCACAUGGACUUGCAAGUUGAGCCUUUAAACAAAGUUCUUUUAAGAAGUCUGGGUGUAUAAAAAGAAUGCUUUGGUUCCAUAAGUUUGAUCGGUUUUUGUGAGCAGUGUCUAAGUUAAAUGUUCAAGAGAAUAAGUGAGUCAUGAGUGUAUUCUAUUCUUAGAAUUCUCUUGUAUUAAAUACCGAUGAGUUCAGUUGAGAAAAUCAACUAUGUUUGAGAUUUCAAGGCCGAUGUUUUCAAGACAAGUGAAGCACAUUUAGAAGCUGUAGACAAAGUCUUGAGAGGUAGUUCAACUGGCUAAAAAGAGUUUAGCUAGAGAUAACCGAGUUCAGAGUUAUCCGAGAGGUUGUAAGUGUACCUUGUAUUUGGUUUACUAUCUUAUAAUGUGUGCUUAAGCACUUGGCCUGAGGCCCGCAGUUGUUUACCUCAUUUUGAGGGUUUUACUUUCUAAACAUGUUCCUGUGUCCCUUAUUUUCUGUUAUUUUUUCUUAUGCUUGCAUAUGGUAGUUUCUUUAUACUGUUGGUUAGGGAUAGAUAGCUUUCUCCAAUCCCUCAGCAACGUUCAGAAAAUUGGAUACAAAUAAAAGUUAAUUGCCUAUUCACCCCCCCCCUCUAGGCCAUUCUAGUACUUUCAUAUUCUAUUAUGUGGUUUCAAUUUGAAGCAGCUGAUUCUUAUUAUUAUUAUUAAUAUAUUUUUACUUUAUUGCAUAGGCUUGGAGUUAAGAUUAAGUCAUCAAACACGGUAACUUCACUAACCAUGAUUUUUAUUUUCGGUUUAGUAUACAGUAAGAAGUUGAUUAGUAUAUAUGAGUAGAAGAGGUGGUCAAUGUGUACUCAUUUUGCAUGUUGGUUCUUUGGCAGGUAUUGGAAACAAGGAGAGGGUUGGCCUUUUGCACAGUUUGUCCAAAUUUUCAUUUUAAUUUUGAUACUCUUUGGAUGUAGUUGAUAUGAAUAAUAACAUUUACUGAAUAUAUUGAGGUUGUAGUGAAAAUAUUGAUUCUCAAUUAGCUUGUUAUUCAAUCUUACAUAUCAGUAUUGUUUCUAUGGUGGUAUGAAUCUAUAACAAGAAAAAAAAAUUCUAAUUUUAA